rnacentral:rRNA from 1 species
AUGUUCGAGUAAAUUUGGGGACCGUUGAUUAAACAUUUAUUUGUUUUUUUGAUGGAAACCAAUUUAAUCGCAGUGGCUUGAACCGGGCAAAAGUCGUAACAAGGUAGCUGUAGGUGAACCUGCUGCUGGAUCAUUA